GAUUAACUACCUUAAUUUCAGCAACAUUAAUACCAGAGCUCAUAACAAUAACAGAACCAUGAGACCAAUCCAGGAGUCAUUUCACAAUUUGCUCCAGUAGUGCACCGUAAUCGACACAAUGCCGAAAGGGAUACACUACACCACAUAUUUACACCAGAUCAUCCGCAAACACAAGAUUAUUAAAGGUCGCACAAACUGUGCGAUGGCUGCUAACCAUGUUUUUCAUCAUCAUCAUCAGUUUCUUAUCUUAACUCUUAACUGACAGACUUGAGCAUCCUAAUAACCACCCUGAAUGUAUGCAUUCAGGCGAUUCAGCUCCUCACGAUGCUCACUCACCACAGCUCGAACAACAUCACCAAUGGAGACCAUACCGAUCAUCUCCUUCUUGUCAAUGAUCGGGAUGUGCCUGAUGCGGUUAUCUGUC
rnacentral:misc_RNA from 1 species